rnacentral:rRNA from 1 species
AUUGAACGCUGGCGGCAUGCCUUACACAUGCAAGUCGAACGGUAACGCGGGGCAACCUGGCGACGAGUGGCGAACGGGUGAGUAAUGCAUCGGAACGUGCCCAGUAGUGGGGGAUAGCCCGGCGAAAGCCGGAUUAAUACCGCAUACGACCUACGGGUGAAAGCGGGGGAUCGCAAGACCUCGCGCUAUUGGAGCGGCCGAUGUCAGAUUAGGUAGUUGGUGGGGUAAAGGCCUACCAAGCCUACGAUCUGUAGCUGGUCUGAGAGGACGACCAGCCACACUGGAACUGAGAAACGGCCCAGGCUCCUACGGGAGGCGGCAGUGGGGAAUUUUGGACAAUGGGGGCAACCCUGAUCCAGCCAUGCCGCGUGCGGGAAGAAGGCCUUCGGGUUGUAAACCGCUUUUGUCGGGGAAGAAAUCCUCCGGGCUAAUACCUCGGGGGGAUGACGGUACCCGGAGAAUAAGCACCGGCUAACUACGUGCCAGCCGCCGCAGUAACAC